GUGCUAAAAAAUGGUGUAGAUAAUACCAUAAUCCAAUAAUCACAAAAAUGGCUAACCGUUUUGGUGUCAAAUUACAGAACAGGCUGCCAAGUUUGGCGGGUGUUUAUCCAUUUUCAGCUCCCAUAACAACUACCAAUUCAGUUAUUUAUUCUUAUAAAAAGUUAAGAAUUGUUGGUAAGAGGAGAGCGUUUAUUCCACGUAGAGUGGUGAUAGGAAUUGGGAUAUCAGUUUGGUCUCAGUUCAUGGGCAUGGCUGCCAAUGUCGGUGGUAAAUCUUUCAUGGCUUCUGCCAGUCAGAAGAGUGCAAUUGAGCAGGUUUUGAAGAAUGUCGAAUGGCCAGAACAAUUUCCUUUCAGGGAUGAGGAUUUCCAGCGCUUUGAUGAAUCACCAGAUACAUUAUUCUAUGAAAUGCCACGAUUUGUGACACAUAUCGAUGAUCAAGCUAUUGCUGCACUUACCAAAUAUUACUCAGAAGUCUUGCCUCCUAGUAAUGCUCCUGGAGUAGCAAUACUUGAUAUGUGUAGCAGUUGGGUCAGUCAUUACCCUGCUGGGUACAAGCAAGAAAGGAUAGUUGGAAUGGGUUUGAAUGAAGAAGAGCUUAAGCGAAAUCCGGUUCUAACAGAGUAUGUAGUUCAAGACUUGAACAAUAAUCCUAAGCUCCCAUUUGGAGACAAUACCUUUGAUGUUAUAACCAAUGUGGUUAGUGUUGAUUACUUAACAAAGCCUCUUGAUGUUUUCAAGGAAAUGUCUCGUGUUCUUAAACCUGGUGGGCUUGCAAUUAUGAGUUUCUCGAACCGCUGCUUCUUUACAAAGGCUAUCUCGAUUUGGACAUCAACUGGAGAUGCUGAUCAUGUUAUGAUAGUUGGGUCUUAUUUCCAUUAUGCUGGAGGAUUUGAACCUCCACAGGCUGUGGAUAUAUCUCCUAACCCUGGACGUUCGGACCCCAUGUAUAUAGUAUAUUCCAGGAAGAUAGCGACAGCCUGAAAUUGGACUACUGGUCUAGAUGGUUCUGUUAGCUCGUGCCAUUUCAGCUAUGAGUUUUCGUGUCGAUUUGUGAGAAAAGAUAAUUGAUAAUGGAAAUCCUUCUGCGACUGUUGCGGCAACGACGAUAGCCUCAUUAACCCGAAUUGAUGUGCCACUGACCGAGAAAUAAUUAACCCGAAUUGAUGUGCCACUGACCGAGAAAUAGGAGAAAUUUUCUGGAGCCAACUUCAAAGGAUGGCAGCAAAGGGUGUUCUUAUGGCUUACCACACUUGGUAUGCAGAAAAUCACCAGUGAAGAACCUCCAGUGCAUGUCGUGGACAUGCCAGACAACGAGAAAUUUAUGAUUGUUGAGCGUGGAAACAGACAGAUUUUCUUUGCAAAGGCUACAUCCUAAGUGCUUUGGAGGAUGACUUGUAUAAUGUCUACAGUUCUAUGUAAACUUCGAAAGAAUUAUGGGAUGCAUUUGAGAAGAAGUAUAAGACUGAAGAUGCAUGCUUGAAAAAGUUUGUGGUUAAUUUUUUAGACUAUAAAAUAAUAGAC